rnacentral:rRNA from 1 species
UAUUGGACAAUGGAGGAAACUUUGAUCCAGCCAUGCCGCGUGAGUGAUGAAGGCCUUCGGGUUGUAAAGCUCUUUGAUUGGAGACAAUAAUGAUGGUAUCCAAAGAACAAGCCCCGGCUAACUCUGUGCCAGCAGCCGCGGUAAUACAGAGGGGGCUAGCGUUGUUCGGAAUUACUGGGCGUAAAGCGUGCGUAGGCGGCCUAAUAAGUCAGAAGUGAAAGCCCAAGGCUUAACCUUGGAAUUGCUUUUGAUACUGCUAGGCUUGAAGGUGGUAGAGGAUAGUGGAAUUCUUAGUGUAGGAGUGAAAUCCGUAGAUAUUAAGAGGAACACCAGUGGCGAAGGCGACUAUCUGGACCAUUCUGACGCUGAGUACGAAA